UGGGGAAUAUUGGACAAUGGGCGCAAGCCUGAUCCAGCCAUGCCGCGUGGGUGAAGAAGGCCCUAGGGUUGUAAACCCCUUUCAGCGGGGAAGAUAAUGACGGUACCCGCAGAAGAAGCCCCGGCUAACUCCGUGCCAGCAGCCGCGGUAAUACGGAGGGGGCUAGCGUUGUUCGGAAUUACCGGGCGUAAAGCGCGCGUAGGCGGACCUGCAAGUCGGGGGUGAAAGCCCGAGGCUCAACCUCGGAACUGCCUUCGAUACUGCGGGUCUCGAGUCCGGGAGAGGUGAGUGGAAUUCCUAGUGUAGAGGUGAAAUUCGUAGAUAUUAGGAAGAACACCAGUGGCGAAGGCGGCUCACUGGCCCGGUACUGACGCUGAGGCGCGAAAGCGUGGGGAGCAAACAGGAUUAGAUACCCUGGUAGUCCACGCCGUAAACUAUGGGCGCUAGCCGUCGGUCGGCAUGCCGGUCGGUGGCGCAGCAAACGCAUUAAGCACCCCGCCUGGGGAGUACGGUCGCAAG
rnacentral:rRNA from 1 species